rnacentral:rRNA from 1 species
GCUUGCUCCCGGAUCUGUUAGCGGCGGACGGGUGAGUAACACGUGGGUAACCUGCCUGUAAGACUGGGAUACACUGCCGGGAAACCGACGGAGCUAAUACCGGAUCAGUUCCUUGAACCGCAUGGUUCAAGGAUGAAAGACGGUUUCGGCUGUCACUUACAGAUGGACCCGCGGCGCAUUAGCUAGUUGGUGGGGUAAUGGCUCACCAAGGCGACGAUGCGUAGCCGACCUGAGAGGGUGAUCGGCCACACUGGGACUGAGACACGGCCCAGACUCCUACGGGAGGCAGCAGUAGGGAAUCUUCCGCAAUGGACGAAAGUCUGACGGAGCAACGCCGCGUGAGUGAUGAAGGUUUUCGGAUCGUAAAGCUCUGUUGUUAGGGAAGAACAAGUGCGAGAGUAACUGCUCGCACCUUGACGGUACCUAACCAGAAAGCCACGGCUAACUACGUGCCAGCAGCCGCGGUAAUACGUAGGUGGCAAGCGUUGUCCGGAAUUAUUGGGCGUAAAGGGCUCGCAGGCGGUUUCUUAAGUCUGAUGUGAAAGCCCCCGGCUCAACCGGGGAGGGUCAUUGGAAACUGGGAAACUUGAGUGCAGAAGAGGAGAGUGGAAUUCCACGUGUAGCGGUGAAAUGCGUAGAGAUGUGGAGGAACACCAGUGGCGAAGGCGACUCUCUGGUCUGUAACUGACGCUGAGGAGCGAAAGCGUGGGGAGCGAACAGGAUUAGAUACCCUGGUAGUCCACGCCGUAAACGAUGAGUGCUAAGUGUUAGGGGGUUUCCGCCCCUUAGUGCUGCUGCAGCUAACGCAUUAAGCACUCCGCCUGGGGAGUACGGUCGCAAGACUGAAACUCAAAGGAAUUGACGGGGGCCCGCACAAGCGGUGGAGCAUGUGGUUUAAUUCGAAGCAACGCGAAGAACCUUACCAGGUCUUGACAUCCUCUGACAACCCUAGAGAUAGGGCUUUCCCUUCGGGGACAGAGUGACAGGUGGUGCAUGGUUGUCGUCAGCUCGUGUCGUGAGAUGUUGGGUUAAGUCCCGCAACGAGCGCAACCCUUGAUCUUAGUUGCCAGCAUUCAGUUGGGCACUCUAAGGUGACUGCCGGUGACAAACCGGAGGAAGGUGGGGAUGACGUCAAAUCAUCAUGCCCCUUAUGACCUGGGCUACACACGUGCUACAAUGGACAGAACAAAGGGCUGCAAGACCGCAAGGUUUAGCCAAUCCCAUAAAUCUGUUCUCAGUUCGGAUCGCAGUCUGCAACUCGACU